AUUGAACGCUGGCGGCAUGCUUUACACAUGCAAGUCGAACGGCAGCGCGGGCUUCGGCCUGGCGGCGAGUGGCGAACGGGUGAGUAAUGCAUCGGAACGUGCCCAGUAGUGGGGGAUAGCCCGGCGAAAGCCGGAUUAAUACCGCAUACGACCUGAGGGUGAAAGCGGGGGACCGAAAGGCCUCGCGCUAUUGGAGCGGCCGAUGUCGGAUUAGCUAGUUGGUGGGGUAAAGGCUUACCAAGGCGACGAUCCGUAGCGGGUCUGAGAGGACGACCAGCCACACUGGGACUGAGACACGGCCCAGACUCCUACGGGAGGCAGCAGUGGGGAAUUUUGGACAAUGGGGGCAACCCUGAUCCAGCCAUGCCGCGUGCGGGAAGAAGGCCUUCGGGUUGUAAACCGCUUUUGUUCGGGAAGAAAUCCUCUGGGCUAAUACCCCGGGGGGAUGACGGUACCGGAAGAAUAAGCACCGGCUAACUACGUG
rnacentral:rRNA from 1 species